CAGUCGCCGCGGUAAUACGGAGGGUGCAAGCGUUAAUCGGAAUUACUGGGCGUAAAGCGUGCGUAGGCGGUUCGUUAAGUCUGUUGUGAAAGCCCCGGGCUCAACCUGGGAAUGGCAAUGGAUACUGGCGAGCUAGAGUGUGUCAGAGGAUGGUGGAAUUCCCGGUGUAGCGGUGAAAUGCGUAGAGAUCGGGAGGAACAUCAGUGGCGAAGGCGGCCAUCUGGGACAACACUGACGCUGAAGCACGAAAGCGUGGGGAGCAAACAGGAUUAGAGACCCCCGUAGUCCCUGUCUCUUAUAC
rnacentral:rRNA from 1 species